GCCUGGGUAGCUCAGUGGGUUAAGUGUCUGACUUUGGCUCAGGUUAUGAUGUCGCGGGUUCUUGAGUCUGAGCCCCGCGUCAGGCU
rnacentral:tRNA from 1 species